rnacentral:lncRNA from 1 species
GUCUUGUAUAAAUCAAUUUUAUUCAAAUAAUUAACAACCAGAAAUUACAAUUGCAUAGUUUAAACAUAUUGCAUAUUUUUAUAAUUUCUGUGUCUGCAUUUUAAUAUGGGAAUUAUUUUCUGGUCAUGUGGGCAGUUUAUAUUAAUAUAUUUCAUUCAAUAUAUUUGGGGCAAGAUAUAUAAUUUAUUUCUCAUUUUUUAAAUAAUAAAGUCACAAAAUAGUUGUUUACCAAGAAAAUUGCCUAAUCUAAGUUAUGACAAUCUUCUAUAUAUUCAAGAAAGAAUUAAAAACAAACAUAAAUAAUAAAAUCUCUAAAUACAACAACUCAGAAUAAAAACACAAUGCAUCAACAACACAACUACACACAAAAAUGUAGUUU